CGUUCCUAAGAAGCUUGCAAAAUAUGCAUGUAAGAGUCUAUCUUAAUUCAACAAUGAAGGCUCCGUUUGUGCUCUCUGUUCACUUAAUUUUUCUAAUAUAAUUAUGCUUAUUCACUAGAUUCAAAGCAUUGCUUUACAAUUUUGUUUUCUUACUAAUGCAUUGAUUUGGUGAACUCUUCAACGAGAUUUAUUUUGGUUUUUUAUUUUCUACUUUGCCUUUAUGCUGAUACAAAGUAUUUUCAACGUUCCUCUAUGGUUUUACUUUUUGUACCUAUUAUUUAGGAUAAUUUCUCAAUCUACCCAAAAACACAGGAGGGUUACCAAAACCGUACUUCUCUACUUAUUUCAAAUUAUUUAAACAACAAAUACUAUAACAAGGUGCACCCAAUAACAAUAUGUUAUUCACUUUUUUUUUUUUUUUUUUUACAUAACACCUUGAUGAUAGUUAAGUUUUUUCCUGUAACAUUGUUUUACUCAUAAUCAAGUGCCGAGGUUAAAGAAAAAGGUGAUAUGAGUCUCUCAUGGAUGCUAAAUUACCAUUUUUAUGUUUACUCAUUUGUUUGAUGUUUAUAAUUGAAAUUGGAUUUUACAAAUGUUUUAUUCAACUUUUAUUAUAGAUAAUUAACUUUGAAUUACUUUGUUGUGUUUUUAUUACUCAGCAGGCACACAAAGUUGUUGAAUUGAAGAGGACUUACCAAAUCAUCAAGUGGGGAAUUUUAUGAGUCGCAUGAGUUUGCAACUAGAGUUUUGCAAAAGUGGAUGGAAGUUCUAUUCACCUUUUAUUACGGAUAAGUUACUUUGAGUUACUGUGAUGUGUUCUUAAAAACACGGUAUUAGUCCAGUAAUAUAGUUACAACAAGUCUAUGUAUAGAUUAUGAGUAAUUUUUAAUUUAAUUUUUUAAACCAAA
rnacentral:lncRNA from 1 species